rnacentral:rRNA from 1 species
CCUACGGGUGGCAGCAGUGGGGAAUAUUGGGCAAUGGGCGCAAGCCUGACCCAGCAACGCCGCGUGAAGGAAGAAGGCUUUCGGGUUGUAAACUUCUUUUGUCAGGGACGAGUAGAAGACGGUACCUGACGAAUAAGCCACGGCUAACUACGGGCCAGCAGCCGCGGUAAUACGUAGGUGGCAAGCGUUGUCCGGAGUUACUGGGUGUAAAGGGCGGGUAGGCGGGUUGACAAGUUAGAUGUGAAAUCCUGGGGCUUAACCGCAGAACUGCAUUUGAAACUGCUGAUCUUGAGUACUGGAGAGGAAGACGGAAUUCCUAGUGUAGCGGUGGAAUGCGUAGAUAUUAGGAGGAACACCAGUGGCGAAGGCGGUCUGCUGGACAGCAACUGACGGUGAGGCGCGAAAGCGUGGGGAGCAAACAGGAUUAGAUACCCCUGUAGUC